rnacentral:rRNA from 1 species
UACAGAGGUCUCAAGCGUUGUUCGGAUUCAUUGGGCGUAAAGGGUGCGUAGGCGGGUAGGCAAGUCGGGCGUGAAAUCCCUGAGCUCAACUCAGGAACUGCACUCGAAACUGCUUAUCUUGAGUGCCGGAGAGGAAAGCGGAAUACCUGGUGUAGAGGUGAAAUUCGUAGAUAUCAGGUGGAACACCAGUGGCGAAGGCGGCUUUCUGGACGGUAACUGACGCUGAGACGCGAAAGCGUGGGGAGCAAACAGG